GUCUCCCCCGCUCCGGGCUCCUGUGAACUCCUACCGUACAAAUCGGAACAAUUUUUGACAAGAUUUUUGAGUUUUGUCAGAUGUGAAUUGUUAAGAUUUAAUUGAAAAAAUGAACAGAACGCGGCAGCUAUUUCGAAGGGAGUGACCCAGAACCAAUUAGAAUGGAGUAACAAUUGAGCAUUCUCCGCCAAGAAAUCCGCAUCGGGGAUCAGAUUAGAGCCGCCGCAGCCCCGCCCGCCCGCUCCCCAACUCCAAAUAUCAUUAGUGAGAGACUGCCAGGAAUUGCUUUUCCCGAUCAAUUUUCCUAGUUUUGAAGGUGAAGUUUACCCGGGGACCGUGCGGAGGGCGCUGGCCGGUCACCUCCGGGCAGGCGACGGACAACGUGGGGACCAUCCUGAAAAAACAGGAUGA
rnacentral:lncRNA from 1 species